UUUUGUUUUGCCUGGGACUAGAACACUUACCAGACUCAGUUUAGAAGUAGGGUUGAAUACUUUGGUCUGUGCGGCAGACAAGAAAGCACUUAUCUACAUGGGCUGGCACAACCACCUUUCUAAAAUCACAUCCCUCUGGACUGCAGUACAAGCCCCCAGCCCUGUGAGGCAGACUUGGUCCUGAUAUCAUCACUUUAAGGAGGUUGUGAUAAUCUCCUGAUGGAAAGGGUCAUCUCUUAUGCAGAGAACAAGAGUAAGCUGAGCCUCUUUUCCUUUUCCUUCUCCAACUUACAGGAGAAAAGAUGAAUCAGAAGCAGAAUCAAACCCACUGAGUUCCAAAACUGAUUGUUUGCCUCUGUGAUAGUCCUCCUUUUUCUUGUCUUUGUCCCUGUGAAUCUGCUUUGCCAGACCAAGGGUACCUUUAUUGCUCAUGGACAACACUUGUGAGGGUUGGAGCUCCCUGACAUACAUGGCAUGGAAUGAAGUCUUCUUGCUUAUUCCUGGAUGGACCAUCUGGGGGAACAGGAGCACUUCAGAGAUCAAAGGCGACAGUAUU